rnacentral:sRNA from 1 species
GCUGGGCGCAGUGGUGCACGCCUGCAAUCCCAGCAGCUAGGGAGGCUGAGACAGGAGAAUCAUGAGUUCAAAGCCAGCCUCAGUGAAGAGCAAGGUGUUAAACAACUCCAUGAGACCCUGUCUCUA